rnacentral:ncRNA from 1 species
GCAGGCGCGCAAAUUACCCAUUCCCGACGCGGGGAGGUAGUGACGAAAAAUAACAAUGCAGGACUCGUUCGAGGCCCUGUAAUUGGAAUGAGUACACUUUAAAAGCUUUAACGAGUAUCCAUAUGGAGGGCAAGUCUGGUGCCAGCAGCCGCGGUAAUUCCAGCUCCAAAAGUAUAUAUUUAAGUUGUUGCGGUUAAAAAGCUCGUAGUUGGAUUUUGGGCGCAGGCGGCCGGUCCGUCGCAAGGCGUGUACUGGACGUCCUGGCCUUCCCUCCGGUUCUCCGCCGGUGCUCUUGACUGAGUGUCGGCGGCGGCCGGAACGUUUACUUUGAAAAAAUUAGAGUGUUCAAAGCAGGCUCUCGAGCCUGGAUAAUGGUGCAUGGAAUAAUGGAAUAGGACCUCGGAUCUAUUUUGUUGGUUUUCGGAGCGCGAGGUAAUGAUUAAGAGGGACAGACGGGGGCAUUCGUACUGUGCCGUUAGAGGUGAAAUUCUUGGAUCGGCGCAAGACGAACGACUGCGAAAGCAUUUGCCAAGAAUGUUUUCUUUAAUCAAGAGCGAAAGUCAGAGGUUCGAAGACGAUCAGAUACCGUCCUAGUUCUGACUAUAAACGAUGCCAACUAGCGAUCGGGGGGCGUUACAUUGACGACCCCUCCGGCAGCUUACGGGAAACCAAAGUCUUUGGGUUCCGGGGGAAGUAUGGUUGCAAAGCUGAAACUUAAAGGAAUUGACGGAAGGGCACCACCAGGAGUGGAGCCUGCGGCUUAAUUUGACUCAACACGGGAAAUCUCACCCGGCCCGGACACAGUGAGGAUUGACAGAUUGAGAGCUCUUUCUUGAUUCUGUGGGUGGUGGUGCAUGGCCGUUCUUAGUUGGUGGAGCGAUUUGUCUGGUUAAUUCCGAUAACGAACGAGACUCUGGCUUGCUAAAUAGUUACGCGACCAUCCCGGUCGGCGUUUAAUUCUUAGAGGGACAAGUGGCGUUUAGCCACACGAGAUUGAGCA